AAUACGGUACCUUUUGAUGCACUCAUUCAAGUUUCCUUCAUCUCUUGUUCAUCUGUUUCCAUGCAUAUUUACAUUACUGCAGGUAACAGAGUUGAAGGUCUGCAUCUCCUGCGAGAAAUGCAAGACUCAGAUACUGAAAGCAGUCACAAAACUUGAAGGUAUUGUAGAAGUAUCUGUGGAUGAACAGAAGGAGAUACUGAAGGUGGUUGGGGACGUUGAUCCAAUUCAAGUAGUAAAGCAAGUGAGGAAGACUGGGAAGACUGCAGUUUUCGGCAGUGUUAGUGAAUCAAAGCCAAAGCCGGAGGCUGCAAAUCCUCCCAAGAAGAAUCCUCCAGAGAAGAAGCAGCCUGAGCCUGGAAAUCCUCCUCCAGCUCCUCUGCCUCCUUAUUGCAGUCCCUGCCACCUUGUCGAGGGCCUUAGGUGACCGCUUAUAUGACUUCAUGGUCGAGGUGGCUCUACUUUCGGCGUUCUCCUUUUGUUCAUCCACAUAUACUUCUACAAUACCUGUUCAGCCUGUGCUAAUGAAAAGUAUUGUUCAAAAUCAAAUUUGAAUGAAGAUGAUGAAGCUGAUACCUUCAACAAUAUAAUUAUGCAUGGAAACAGAUGAACAAGAGAUGAAGGAAACUUGAUGAGUGCACCAAAAGGUGAAGUAUUAUUACCUUCAUGGCAGUAGUUUGAGGCAAGAAGCUGGUGAGGCUGAAAUUCUGGAAGAACAUGAAGCUGAUAUUCAGGCAUUAAUGCCACAGCUCCGGCGUUCUGACUACUACACAGUGUUGGAGAGACGAGAGGAGGAAGUUCUGUAAAUUUCCAGAACCCUCUAACGAUUGUGAUUGAUUCUUAGUAAUAUUUAUAGGACUACAAAAGUGACUCUUGGAUAUUCACCACAUAAUUAGUAGCAAACUACACAUACCAAUAUAGACUACUAAAUACUGAUUAUUAAAUAUAACUAAUACAAGUUUAUCUUCUCAACACCCCCUCUUAAACUUGUAAUUUAGCCAUUAACAACUCCAAGAACAACUCUCAAUUUGCAGAAAUCUUCAAACUUUAGAGCUUUAGUAAAUAUGUCAGCAACUUGGUCUUUAGAUGUUACAUUCUUGAGCUGAAUCUCCUUUUACUGCACACAUUUCACACUGAAUUUACACAACUUGGUAUCAAUUGCAUGACUUUCUGUCACAGAAUGGCACAAGAAGGACCACCAUUGUGGUCGAUGGCAAUGGCGACAAGCUGACAUUUUGUGCAAUGGCAGUAGGAAGGAAGAGGCUUUGGAGAUUUGGGUUUUGGAUCUGGUUUCGGUGGAUCAACACUGAUGAUCUCUGCUGCCUUUCCAGUCUUCCUCACUUGCUUUGUCAAUUUAACUGCAUCAACUUUCCCCACCACUGGAAGCGUCUCCUUGUCACCAUCCACCGAUACUUGUUCAAUACCUGCAUUCAAUCAAAAUCUUAAACUAUAUUGUCUUAAUAAUCAUUUCUAGAAGUUGUUUCUGAAAUAAAUCAUAUAAAUAGUAUGAGUUGAAGGUCGAAGCUGAUACCUGCAAGUUCUGCCACUGCCUUCAGCACCUGAGUUUUUGUUGAGAUUUGUGAUAUUUUUCUUUAAUUAAAGUUGGUUUAAUUUUCUAUUUUUCA